rnacentral:rRNA from 1 species
GAGACAGCAGUCCCGCGGUAAUACGAAGGUGGCAAGCGUUGUCCGGAAUUAUUGGGCGUAAAGGGCUCGCAGGCGGUUUCUUAAGUCUGAUGUGAAAGCCCCCGGCUCAACCGGGGAGGGUCAUUGGAAACUGGGAAACUUGAGUGCAGAAGAGGAGAGUGGAAUUCCACGUGUAGCGGUGAAAUGCGUAGAGAUGUGGAGGAACACCAGUGGCGAAGGCGACCCUCUGGUCUGUAACUGACGCUGAGGAGCGAAAGCGUGGGGAGCGAACAGGAUUAGAUACCCGCGUAGUCCCUGUCUCUUAUACA